rnacentral:rRNA from 1 species
GACGAACGCUGGCGGCGUGCCUAAUACAUGCAAGUCGAGCGGACGGAAUGGGAGCUUGCUCUUGUUCGGUCAGCGGCGGACGGGUGAGUAACACGUGGGCAACCUGCCCGCAAGACCGGGAUAACUCCGGGAAACCGGAGCUAAUACCGGAUAACACCGACGACCGCAUGGUCCUUGGGUGAAAGGCGGCGCAGGCUGCCACUUGCGGAUGGGCCCGCGGCGCAUUUGAUAGUUGGGGAGGGAACGGCACCCCCAGGCGACGAGGCGGAGCCGGCAUGAGAGGGUUGACGGCCACCCCUGGACCGGGGACCCGCCCAGGCUCCUUCGGGGGGCCGCCGUAGGGGAUCUUCCGCAAUGGGCCGAAGCCUGGCGGCGCGACGCCGCGUGGGCGGAGGAGGCCCUCGGGUCGUUAAGCUCUGUUGUGUUGGACGAAGGGGCGCCGUUUGAAGACGUCGGCGCGGUGACGGUACCUCACGAGGAAGCCCCGGCUAACUACGUG